GAGUUGGAAAUACCCGAAGCCUGUGAGCUAACUUAAAGAGGCAGCAGUCGAAGGUAGAGCCCAAUGAUUGGGGUGAAGUCGUAACAAGGUACC
rnacentral:rRNA from 1 species